rnacentral:lncRNA from 1 species
AGCGGCGUGCAAAUGCUGUCCCUGUGGAAGCGCUUGCAAAUGCGGCUCACAAUCACAAAGUGGCAGCUGCGGUUGCGGCUCAAGUUGCAAAUGUGGCCAGUAGAGGAGUGUAAAUAUCCAAUAACAUUCGCUGAAGUAGCCGUACCUUAUUAUGUUUAAGCUUUUAAUUUAUUUUCAUAAGUACAUACAUAUAAUUAAAAACAGUUGUUUAUACAUACAUACAGACAUUAAUAUAAUAAAAAGCUUGUGUGCUUGAUAUCACAUUUGCUUAUCAAUAAAUAACAAAAAGAAAUCAAAUUCUUCUAA